CCUACGGGAGGCAGCAGUAGGGAAUUUUCGUCAAUGGGCGCAAGCCUGAACGAGCGAUGCCGCGUGAGUGAAGAAGGCCUUCGGGUCGUAAAGCUCUGUUGCGGGGGAAAAAAGGCAGCAUCAGGAAAUGGGUGCUGACUGAUGGUGCCCCGCCAGAAAGUCACGGCUAACUACGUGCCAGCAGCCGCGGUAAUACGUAGGUGGCGAGCGUUAUCCGGAAGGAUUGGGCGUAAAGGGUGCGCAGGCGGUCCUGCAAGUCUGGAGUGAAACGCAUGAGCUCAACUCAUGCAUGGCUUUGGAAACUGGAGGACUGGAGAGCAGGAGAGGGCGGUGGAACGCCAUGUGUAGCGGUAAAAUGCGUAGAUAUAUGGAAGAACACCAGUGGCGAAGGCGGCCGCCUGGCCUGUUGCUGACGCUGAGGCACGAAAGCGUGGGGAGCAAAUAGGAUUAGAUACCCUUGUAGUC
rnacentral:rRNA from 1 species